rnacentral:rRNA from 1 species
CGACCCCAGGUCAGGCGGGGUUAUCCGCUGAAUUUAAGCAUAUCAAUAAGCGGAGGA